GUGCUCACUUCAGCAGCACAUAUACUAAAAUUGGAACAAUAUAGAGAAGAUUAGCAUGGCCCUGCACAUGGAAGACAAGCAAAUUCACGAAGUAGUCCUUGUUUUA
ensembl:snRNA U6 U6 spliceosomal RNA